GGGGAUAUAGUUUAUUAUUAAUGGUAAAACAAUAGAAUUUUAAUCUAUAGAAGUAGGUUCGAUUCCUACUAUCUCCU
rnacentral:tRNA from 1 species